CACGUAGGGCGCGAGCGUUGUCCGGAAUUAUUGGGCGUAAAGAGCUCGUAGGCGGCCUGUUGCGUCCGCUGUGAAAGCCCGGGGCUUAACCCCGGGUCGGCAGUGGAUACGGGCAGGCUAGAGGUAGGUAGGGGAGAAUGGAAUUCCCGGUGUAGCGGUGAAAUGCACAGAUAUCGGGAGGAACACCGGUGGCGAAGGCGGUUCUCUGGGCCUUACCUGACGCUGAGGAGCGAAAGCGUGGGGAGCGAACAGG
rnacentral:rRNA from 1 species